UGGAGACCUGGAGGACCUGGAGGUCUGGAGGUCUGGAGGACCUGGAGGUCUGGAGGUCCUGGAGGUCUGGAGGACCUGGAGGACCUGGAGGUCUGGAGGUCUGGAGGUCCCGGCCCUGAACAUCGGGGCCUGAUGACAUCAUCGAUCCUCCCGACUCUGUGAUGACACGUCACCUGCAGCUUGUGCAGGACUUCCUCUGCAGGUGUAUUCAAAAGUAAAGGAUCACUAUUUGCCGAGUCGUGCUGUUGGGUUCGGGGUCGUGACCCCGUGACCCUGUGUAUGUGUUGGAGCGUAUGGAGCGUGGUCACACCAGUUCCACCGCGUGUCUCCUAAACAUGGUGAUCUGUUUCCAUUUAAGCAGCUCCUCAACAAAUUGUUUUUUUAAAUGGUAAGACGUCAGAUUAUGUUUUAAAACUGAAAAAAUACUUUUAAUCUGAGGAAAAAUUAAUCAGAACACAGAAAUAAUGAGAAGGUUUGAUCUCAGAUGAGACUUUCAGCCAAUAGGAACAUAAAGUUUUUAAUCAAUACUACCUGACAACCCUCAGAGGAAUGUCUGAUUAAAGGGUUUUCCAUAUUUAAAUGUCUUAAGUACACUAUAGUACAUCAUGUGCUUCAGUGUUUUGAUUCUGUAGUGAAACUGAUUUCUUGACUGUGAUGUUGUUGUGUUCCUCCAGAGAGACAACAUGACCGCCUGUUCUCCCUCCUUCAUGUUGGUGCAUUGAUAGCAAACACUGAUGUGCCUUCUCUUAAAUAGAAGAGCCCGCAGUGUGUGUGUGUGUGUGUCACUGUCGCAUUGAGCCACUAACACAACACACACUCUUUUAUGAUAUAGGACUUCAAAAGACUCCGAGCUGUCUCCGUCAGUCUCGUUUUCUGACGCUCGCUGACCAGCGGAGACGUGGUGAUGCCAGACGCUCCUCCGAGAGCAGCGUUCUGGUUUAUGACUCAAAUUAACUUUAUAGGUCAAGAGAGGAUCCAAACAUACUUUUAUUUUGAAGCUGGCAUGCUCCAUCAAAGAGACCUUCUAGUACUUUGUGAUUUUAGGUAAUAAAUCAACCAUUGAGACCAA